rnacentral:rRNA from 1 species
UGCCCUAGUAACGGCGAGUGAAGCGGCAACAGCUCAAAUUUGAAAUCUGGCUUCGGCCCGAGUUGUAAUUUGCAGAGGAUGUUUCUGGCGCGGUGCCUUCCGAGUUCCCUGGAACGGGACGCCACAGAGGGUGAGAGCCCCGUAUGGUUGGACACCAAGCCUGUGUGAAACUCCUUCGACGAGUCGAGUAGUUUGGGAAUGCUGCUCUAAAUGGGAGGUAAAUCUCUUCUAAAGCUAAAUACCGGCCAGAGACCGAUAGCGCACAAGUAGAGUGAUCGAAAGAUGAAAAGCACCUUGAAAAGGGGGUUAAACAGUACGUGAAAUUGUUGAAAGGGAAGCACUUAUGACCAGACUUGUGCCGGGCGGCUCAUCCGGGGUUCUCCCCGGUGCACUCCGCCCGGUAUAGGCCAGCAUCGGUUCUUUCUGGGGGAUAAGAACGGUGGGAACGUGGCCCUCCUUCGGGAGGGUGUUAUAGCCCGCCGUACGAUACCCUGGAGGGGACCGAGGUUCGCGCUCCGCAAGGAUGCUGGCAUAAUGGUCAUCAGUGACCCGUCUUGAAACACGGACCAAGGAGUCGUCCAUUAGAGCGAGCGUUUGGGUGUAAAACCCGCACGCGUAAUGAAAGUGAAAUUAGGUGAGAGCUUCGGCGCAUCAUCGACCGAUCCUGAUGUUCUCGGAUGGAUUUGAGUAAGAGUUUUAACGGACGGACCCGAAAGACAGUGAACUAUGCUUGUAUAGGGUGAAGCCAGAGGAAACUCUGGUGGAGGCUCGCAGCGGUUCUGACGUGCAAAUCGAUCGUCAAAUAUGAGCAUGGGGGCGAAAGACUAAUC